AGUGAACGCUGGCGGUAGGCCUAACACAUGCAAGUCGAACGGCAGCACAGUAAGAGCUUGCUCUUAUGGGUGGCGAGUGGCGGACGGGUGAGGAAUAUAUCGGAAUCUACUUUUUCGUGGGGGAUAACGUAGGGAAACUUACUCUAAUACCGCAUACGCCCUUCGGGUGAAAGCAGGGGAUCUUCUGACCUUGCGCGAUUGAAUGAGCCGAUGUCGGAUUAGCUAGUUGGCGGGGUAAAGGCCCACCAAGGCGACGAUCCGUAGCUGGUCUGAGAGGAUGGUCGGCCACACUGGAACUGAGACACGGUCCAGACUCCUACGAGAGGCAGCAGUGGGGAAUAUUGGACAAUGGGCGCAAGCAUGAUCCAGCCAUACCGCGUGGGUGAAGAAGGCCUUCGGGUUGUAAAGCCCUUUUGUUGGGAAAGAAAAGCAGCAGGUUAAUACCCCGCUGUUCUGACGGUACCCAAAGAAUAAGCACCGGCUAACUUCGUG
rnacentral:rRNA from 1 species